CCGCACCCAGCCUGUUUUUUGAAUAUUUUUGAUCAACUGGUUUGCUGAACGCAUGGAUGUGGAACCCACGGAUAGAGAGCUGACUGUAGCCAUUGUGUAACUGGAGUGAGAUGAUAUCUCAUUGUGGUUUUGAUUUGCAUUUCCUUGAUAAUUAGUGAUGUUGAACAUUUUUUCAUAUACUGGUUGACCAUUUAUAUGUCUUUUGAAAAGUGUCUCUUUAGGUCUUUUACUCAUUUUUAAUUGGAUUAUUUUCUUCUAUUUAGUGGCUUGAAUUCUUUAUAUAUUCCACAUAUUAACCUCUUGUUAGAUGUAUAAUUUGCAAAUAUUUUCUCCCAUUCUGUAGGUUGUCUCUGCAGUCUGUUGAUUGUUUCCUUUGAUGUGCAGAAGCUUCUUAGUUUGAUGUAAUCUAUAUAUUUUUGCUUUUGCUUUCUGUAUUUUUGAGAGCUUUUCCAAAAAAUUCUUACUGAGACCAAUUGUGACGAGGCAUUUCUCCUAUGUUUUCUUCUAGUAGUUUCAUAGUUUCCGAUCUUACGUUUAACUCUUUAAUCCUUUUUGAGUUGAUUUUUGUAUAUGAUGAAAGGUAAGGGCUAGUGUUACUCCUCUUCAUGUGGAUAUGCAGUUUUCCCAACACCAUUUAUUGAAGAGACUGUCCUUUCUCCAAUGUGUGUUCUUGGCACCUUUGUCAAAAAUCAGUUAGCUGUAGAAGCGUGGUUUUAUUUCUGGGCUUUCCAUUAAUUUUAGCAACCUUAAAUCUAUUGUAUACAAGAUCAGUAAGGUCAUAGUGUUUAAUUACCACAAUAUUUGUGAUAGAAUUCAGCCUCCUACAAUCAACAUAAUAUUCGUCUUUAGAUGAACAAACACUUCUCAGCAACACACAUUUUAACAAAUGUAGUAUUCUAAUACAAACACACUUAAUUGAAAGGUUAUAUAGUUUUACAGACUCUUGGAAGAUAACUAUCACAGCAAACAGAAAAGGUCUUUGCCUUUUUUUUUUUUGAGACAGAAUCUCGCUCUGUCCCCCAGGCUAGAAUGCAGUGGCACGGUCUCGGCUCACUGCAACCUCCGCCUCCUGGGUUCAAGCGAUUCUCCUGCCUCAGCCUCCUGAGUAGCUGGGACUACAGGCACGUGUCACAACACCCAGCUAAUUUUUGUAUUUUUAGUAGAGACAGGGUUUCACCAUAUUGGCCAGGCUGGUCUCGAACUCCUGACCUUGUGAUCCGCCCGCCUCAGCCUCCCAAAGUGCUGAGAUUACAGACGUGAGCCACUGUGCUCGGCCAGCUCUUUGCCUUUUUAAAGAAACAGACCUCUAAGGAAACCUAAUUAUACUGUAAGAGGAAAAUGAGUAAGUAUAGAUUUAAAUUAUAUUCUACGGUAAAUAAUAGAUAAAUAUUCUCUAACCUUCUCCUUUUUGUUUCCAAGCAAAGGGUAAUGGCUAACUCAGUGCUUUGCAGUCUUAACAUUUUUAUAUAAACAAUUUUUUAAAUCUAAAGUUUCUCAUUAAAUCUCAUUGAAAACUUGUGGUGUAUGGUUUAAACUAUAGUUAUUUAUUUAUUUAUUUGAGACCAAGUCUUGCUCUAGCACCAGGCUGGAGUGCAAUGUAGCAAUCUCGGCUCACUUCAACCUCCACCUCCUGGGUUCAAGUGUUUCUCCUGUCUCAGCCUCCUGAGUAGCUGGGACUACAGGCACUGGCCACCAUGCCCAGCUAAUUUUUGUAUUUUUAGUAGAGACAGGGUUUCACCAUGUUGGCUAGGAUGGUCUCGAUGUCUUGACCUAGUGAUCCGCCCACCUCGGCCUCCCAAAGUGCUAGGAUUACAGGCAUGAGCCACCGCGCUUGGCCAGUUUAAACUAUAGUUCUAACCAACGCUGAAUCAAAGUAUUCAGUAAUUUACUAGAACUUACAGUAAUUUUAUUUCAUAACUUAAGCUCAAUAAAGUUAGAGAUGGAGACUGUUGUGUUUAUUAAAUUAAAUCUUUAGUCUCUAGCACAGUAAAGAUAUUCAAUUAAAUAUUUGUUGAAGAAAUAGAAUGAAUGCAUGCAUGCAUAAAUUAAUGAAUCUUUAGUGUUCAGAUUUUCGUUGGUUGAAGUAUGUGUUAUAAAGAAUGUGGCAUUCUGUUGUAUCAGCCUUUUGCCAACAGAAAUUUGAUCUUUAGAAGUUAUUUAUUAUACAAGGAAUUUGUAAUUGGAACAUUGCUCUUAACAAUUCAGAAAACAGGAAGAAUGUACAGUCAUUUGCAGAUUUGGAGUCUGAAUCAAUUUUAUCUUUAUAUAUUUUACUCUGCCCUCUGCAAGCAGAUUAAUGAAAAUAGCAUGUAACUAAACUUAUUUUUCAAAAUAUUUUAUGUAUUGGAAAAUAGUACUUCUGUAAAUCUGUUUCAUUGUAAGUAAAGGAAACUGCAGUUAAUGAGAAUGAGAAUGAGAGAUGAGAGAGGGCGUAUUUCUACUCACUAAUUGAUUCUUACAGAAUUAUCCCCAUUCAAAGUUAAAUAAUUGAAAUAAAAAAGAUCAGAAGAUUAUAGUACAUUAGGAAUGAUAUUAUUGUUUCCUCAGGUCUUUUACUGUGAAGAGACAAUUGUUGGCCAGUAAAAGAGUUGCCAAUUUGUAUAAGAUUCUAUUGAAAAAUGUUAAAGGAUAUCCUAAGUAAAGAGAAGUCCUUGAAUCUCACAAUUGCAGAAGACACAACUCCUCCUGCAACAUAUUCUAUUACUUAAAUGAUAUUGGAAAUGUGAAUCUUCAGUGAUCAAGAUUGAUUUAAAUGAAAUACACGUUAAGGUCUAGGAUGGUGCAACUGAAGUGGCUGAAAAUUUUCCAGCUAUAGCAGCUAUUCACAUAAAAAGAGCCAUGAGUGUCAUAUAAACACCUGUUUGUAAAUAUAGCCAUCCUAGUCAUACUCUGUAGCAAUUAACUCUAGAAGAAAUUAUUCCAUUUGUGUUUUUGUGUACUGUAUUUAAAUAGGGCAAAGAGUGAGCCUGUUUGCUCAUACUUUAUUCCCAAUCUCUAGUUGAGUAUCUGGCAUUUAGAGAGGUUUAAUAAAUGUUUGUGGAAAGAAUGAGCCGUGUUCAUUCUUUGGAUCUGACAACAAUGAGGUUUGAUAGGAAGUGACAGAACUUAAUUCUGCCAGUUCUUUGAAUAAUGCUGUUUAUGCAGCUUUGAAGAGAGAUUAUUGAAAUAUUGUAAGUUAUAUUGAGCAAGUCUGUGGCUAGUAAAUCAAACAGUUUGCUAACAUUGGUUUUACAUUUGAAAUUAUCUGUGGUUUAAACAAUUUAUUUUAAUCAGGGGCUGUUUUAUUAUAAGAAACCCACUGGAACUAACAUAAAUUGAAGAAUUUAUUUGUCUUUGUAAGGAAUCAAGUAAAGCCUAUGAUGCCCAAGGGCAGAAAGGACAGCCAGGUUCUCAGGGACUAGAACCGGGAACUGGAAGGCUGGUAGACAUAGUCGCCAGUCAGCAUCUGUGUCCAUGUUUGUGUCUUUCUCCUGCAACAUAUUCUAUUGUCACUGUAUUCUAACCGCCCCUCCACCCCAACCAACCCCCGACUUCUGUUUCUCCCCACAUUGGGUAGAAAUGACUUCCUGAGCCCCUACAUGAGGACUCAAUUCAAGGCCACCAGAGAGGUUGUCAUUGAGUUUAAAUUCCUGGGAGAGAGGAUCUGAUUGGCAGCUUGGGCCAAGUGACCACUUGUGAUCAAGUUAUAUGGCCAGGAUUUCUGGGUCAUGUAUUAUCAACCUGAUUAGUAGAGGUUAGUUUUAACACAAGAUAAGAUAAGCAUAGCCUGGCAGAUACCCAGAAAGGUAUCUAUUACCCUGUUUCAGGAAUUCUUUCUAAAGAAUUUCCAAAUGAAAAUGUAGACAUUUUUUUGUCUUUAACAAUAGAGCAGCCAGGCGCGGUGGCUCACGCCUGUAAUCCCAGAACUUUGGGAGGUCGAGGCGGGCAGAUCACAAGGUCAGGAGUUGCCUGGCCAACAUAGUGAAACCCUGCCUCUACUAAAAAUACAAAAGAUUAGCUGGGUGUGGUGGCGGGUGCCUGUAAUCCUAGCUUCUCAGGAGGCUCAGUCAGGAGAAUCACUUGAACCUGGGAGGCGGAGGUUGCAGCUAGCCGAGAUCGCGGCACUGCACACCAGCCUGGGUGACAGUGCAAGACUCCGUCUCAAAAAAAAAAAAAGAGCAAUAUAGUUGUUUAUCAUCUGAGAGGAAUGAUGGAUAUUUCAAAGCUGUUUGUGACAGAGUGAAGAAGUCAUGUCAAGAAAUACCCAAAGGUUUUGAAGUUGAUACACUUUUCCUUUCAGAGGAAAAAGUCAGAAAAAAAUCAAUUGUGAUACGAAUAAUAUAUUAUCUUCUAUGUCCUCAGAGAAGCAGUGUAAAAUUACUGUUCAUUUUUAAGGAUUCCAUACUAUAUCACUAAAUUUAAAUAUAUAUUUUUUGAGAAUGAUUAAAACAAAAUGAGAACAGUUUCAGAACUGUUACUUAAAUGGAAUGUACCAUUUAAUUAAAUAGUGGCCAAACAGAUGCAUAGAUUUUUACAGAAACAUUGCACAUAAUGUUCUGGAGCUUCUACUUUAAUGAAUCUACCUGAAAUUCAACUUCAUUUUUGAUCUAUGUCUCCUUGAGUGCUUUGGCUGCUGCUUUUGUGUGUGUGUGUGCUUGUGUGUGUUUUAACACAGUGCUUCCCCAUCUCCGAUCUAUUACAUAUUAAUUUGUUCUAGCUAAUCAGCUUAAUAAACUGAGAAUGCUGCUCAUUACUUAUGUAGCACAAUGCAGAGACACUGUGGGGCUUGGCAUGGAUGACUGUCAAACAGAAACUGAUAACCAAACUGAUGGCGCCUGGAGGACCCAGUGGUGUUGCGAAGUUUGUUGUUGCAUCAGCUGAAAUAGAUAUUGAGACUUUAUUGAUUUAUCUCAUCUAUAAGAAUUUUGCACUUUCUUUGCUUUGUUAUACCGUGCUAUUAUUUUAUUUUAUUUUAUUUAUUUUUUUGAGACAGGGUCUCGCCAUGUCACCCAGCCUGGAGCACAGUGGCGCGAUCACAACUCACAGCAACCUCUGCCUCCCUGGCUCAAGCAAUCCCUCCACCUCAGCCUCCCAGAUAUCUGUAUUUUAGUGGACUGAAUCUCUCAGCCUGGCAUUCAAGGCCAGUCACAGUGUGACAUUCCAGCCUCCCAGUUAGAGCUCAGCUAACAACAAGCCAAGUCAGAAAGCUGCUCUGCAAGACUGAUUUGCCCAUUAUACUUCCCAAAUACCCUGCCUUCCUUUCCUGCUUCUGCUUUUGCCACACUGUUUUGGCUUUAGCAGGACAAACCAAGGAAUAAUAAAAUAGCCUGUCUUGUGA